rnacentral:misc_RNA from 1 species
CGGGACUCACUGAAUCCCUCACUCGUCGCCCAAGUCAUCGAUCCUUGCCUCUUGACUCAUCACUCUCUCGCACUCGGUUUCUUCAACUGGGCCUCUCAGCAACCCGGGUUUACUCACACCUCACUUACUUAUCAAUCAAUNNNNNNNAAUCUCUCUCUCUUUCUCGUCAAUUCAAUUCUAUAGAGUCUAUCUUAAAGCAAGUCAAAGCCC